GUUGUAUGGUUAAGUGACUAAGCGUACACGGUGGAUGCCUUGGCAGUCAGAGGCGAUGAAAGACGUAGUAACUUGCGAUAAGCCCAGAUUAGGUAGUAACAACCAUUUGAGUCUGGGAUUUCUGAAUGGGGAAACCCACGUGCAUAAGCACGUAUCCUUACCUGAAUACAUAGGGUAAGGAGGCGAACCGGGGAACUGAAACAUCUAAGUACCCCGAGGAAAAGAAAUCAACCGAGAUUCCGAAAGUAGCGGCGAGCGAAAUUGGACUAGCCCUUAAGCUUUACACGCGUUAGACGAACGGUCUGGAAAGUCCGACGAUACAGGGUGAUAGUCCCGUAGUUGACGACGUGUGUUCAGUGAAAUCGAGUAGGGCGGGACACGUGAUAUCCUGUCUGAAUAUGGGGGGACCAUCCUCCAAGGCUAAAUACUACUGACUGACCGAUAGUGAACCAGUACCGUGAGGGAAAGGCGAAAAGAACCCCUGUGAGGGGAGUGAAAUAGAACCUGAAACCGUGUACGUACAAGCAGUAGGAGCAGGCUUUGUCCUGUGACUGCGUACCUUUUGUAUAAUGGGUCAGCGACUUAUAUUCAGUGGCAAGGUUAACCAUCUAGGGGAGCCGUAGGGAAACCGAGUCUUAACUGGGCGUUCAGUCUCUGGAUAUAGACCCGAAACCAGGUGAUCUAGCCAUGGGCAGGUUGAAGGUUGAGUAACAUCAACUGGAGGACCGAACCGACUAAUGUUGAAAAAUUAGCGGAUGACUUGUGGCUAGGGGUGAAAGGCCAAUCAAACCUGGAGAUAGCUGGUUCUCCCCGAAAGCUAUUUAGGUAGCGCCUCGGACGAAUACUACUGGGGGUAGAGCACUGUUAAGGCUAGGGGGUCAUCCCGACUUACCAACCCUUUGCAAACUCCGAAUACCAGUAAGUACUAUCCGGGAGACACACGGCGGGUGCUAACGUCCGUCGUGGAGAGGGAAACAACCCAGACCGCCAGCUAAGGUCCCAAAUUACUACUAAGUGGGAAACGAUGUGGGAAGGCUCAGACAGCCAGGAUGUUGGCUUAGAAGCAGCCAUCAUUUAAAGAAAGCGUAAUAGCUCACUGGUCGAGUCGGCCUGCGCGGAAGAUGUAACGGGGCUAAGUAGUAAACCGAAGCUGCGGCAAUAUACUUUUGUAUAUUGGGUAGGGGAGCGUUCUGUAAGCGGUUGAAGGUGUGUGGUAACGCAUGCUGGACGUAUCAGAAGUGCGAAUGCUGACAUGAGUAACGAUAAAGGGGGUGAAAAACCUCCUCGCCGGAAGACCAAGGGUUCCUGUCCAACGUUAAUCGGGGCAGGGUAAGUCGACCCCUAAGGCGAGGCCGAAAGGCGUAGUCGAUGGGAAACGGGUUAAUAUUCCCGUACUUCUUACAAUUGCGAUGGGGGGACGGAGAAGGCUAGGUGGGCCUGGCGACGGUUGUCCAGGUUCAAGUGCGUAGGCUUAAGAGUUAGGUAAAUCCGGCUCUUUUUAAGGCUGAGACACGACGUCGAGCACCUACGGGUGUGAAGUCAUUGAUGCCAUGCUUCCAGGAAAAGCCUCUAAGCUUCAGAUUGUAAGGAAUCGUACCCCAAACCGACACAGGUGGUCGGGUAGAGAAUACCAAGGCGCUUGAGAGAACUCGGGUGAAGGAACUAGGCAAAAUGGUACCGUAACUUCGGGAGAAGGUACGCUCUCGACGGUGAAGUCCCUUGCGGAUGGAGCUAUUGAGAGUCGCAGAUACCAGGUGGCUGCAACUGUUUAUUAAAAACACAGCACUGUGCAAAAUCGUAAGAUGACGUAUACGGUGUGACGCCUGCCCGGUGCCGGAAGGUUAAUUGAUGGGGUUAGACUUCGGUCGAAGCUCUUGAUCGAAGCCCCGGUAAACGGCGGCCGUAACUAUAACGGUCCUAAGGUAGCGAAAUUCCUUGUCGGGUAAGUUCCGACCUGCACGAAUGGCGUAAUGAUGGCCACGCUGUCUCCACCCGAGACUCAGUGAAAUUGAAAUCGCUGUGAAGAUGCAGUGUACCCGCGGCUAGACGGAAAGACCCCGUGAACCUUUACUACAGCUUGGCACUGAACAUUGACCCUACAUGUGUAGGAUAGGUGGGAGGCUUUGAAGCACGUACGCCAGUAUGUGUGGAGCCGUCCUUGAAAUACCACCCUUGUAGUGUUGAUGUUCUAACGUCGACCCCUAAUCGGGGUUGCGGACAGUGCCUGGUGGGUAGUUUGACUGGGGCGGUCUCCUCCCAAAGAGUAACGGAGGAGCACGAAGGUGGGCUAAUCACGGUUGGACAUCGUGAGGUUAGUGCAAUGGCAUAAGCCCGCUUGACUGCGAGAAUGACAAUUCGAGCAGGUGCGAAAGCAGGUCAUAGUGAUCCGGUGGUUCUGAAUGGAAGGGCCAUCGCUCAACGGAUAAAAGGUACUCCGGGGAUAACAGGCUGAUACCGCCCAAGAGUUCAUAUCGACGGCGGUGUUUGGCACCUCGAUGUCGGCUCAUCACAUCCUGGGGCUGAAGUCGGUCCCAAGGGUAUGGCUGUUCGCCAUUUAAAGUGGUACGCGAGCUGGGUUUAGAACGUCGUGAGACAGUUCGGUCCCUAUCUGCCGUGGGCGUUGGAAGAUUGAAGGGGGCUGCUCCUAGUACGAGAGGACCGGAGUGGACGAACCUCUGGUGUUCGGGUUGUGUCGCCAGACGCAUUGCCCGGUAGCUAAGUUCGGAAUCGAUAACCGCUGAAAGCAUCUAAGCGGGAAGCGAGCCCUGAGAUGAGUCUUCCCUGAUACUUUAAGUAUCCUAAAGGGUUGUCGGAGACUACGACGUUGAUAGGUCAGGUGUGUAAGUGCUGUGAGGCAUUGAGCUAACUGAUACUAAUUGCCCGUGAGGCUUAACCAUACAACACCCAAGGGGUUU
rnacentral:rRNA from 1 species